CUCCCACCAGGCGGCUUUGGUGACGUCGGGGAAGAUGUCCUCGGGGAACCACGCGGCCAGGCUCACCGGUCCUGUGGCGGUGUCCGUGAGAGCCUGGAGACCCACGCCCCUGAAGCCUUCCUCGGGCCACAGGGUCCCGUCGACCGUCAGUGACGUCAUCGACGGCGGGGACAGUGGGAACCGGGGCCCGCCCCGGGCCCGCGUGCGGAGCUCCGUUGGCCGUCAAGAGAUGAAUUCAAGUCAACUUUUCGGUCGGUGAUGGCGGCAGUGGUGGCCCGUCCAGUGAUGUAGAAUAUUUUACAUAUCAUGAAAAUAUGAAAUGGAAGUAUUUAGAUACAAAAUAACAUAUACAUACAUUUCAAUAUAAUAAUAAUUUAGAUACAUUUGCAUUAUGUACAUCUAUUUCGUUUGGCGAUAAAUAUCUUUUGUUGAGAACUUGAAGUGUGGCACCACCGCACAUCGCCGCACCCACUCAGCCACUCCCGAAUUGCGCCUACCCACUCCAGUUGAGUUCACUACUUCACACUGCCCAGACAACUAUUAGCAGCCCUCCAGAUUAUAUCAGAAUGUGGCCCAUAGAGCAGGACGAAGCCCUGGUCGACGCAGUGGGGCAGUACCCCUGGCUCUAUGACAUGGGCCAUGAAGAUUAUAAAGAUGUAGUCAUGAAACGCAAUUCAUGGCGCGAAAUAGCCACAAGACUAAACAUGAAUGAGGAACAGUGCAGGAAACGCUGGCAAUGCCUCCGAGACCGCUAUGUCCGUACAAGGAGGGUUAAGGAGAGGCCACUCCCCAGUGGGUCAGGGGCAGAGGCUGUGCCAAAAAUAAAAUAGGAAUUGUACCCAUUAUUGGAUUCCCUGCUGCACCGCGGUGUAGACCAUCGUUCGGGGCAACAGUUUCCAGCUCGGGCCAGCGAGGUCUCAACAAACAGAGACAUCAUCUUCAUCGUCACCCAUCAACACACCAUCCCCAACACCGGACCUCAUAGAUCCCAUAGAGAUAUUAAUCAGUGAAGACGAUAAUGGGACAGGACCGACUGCCCUGCCAUCUGCGGUGUCCGGUGCCCGAAAGCAGGUAACCCGUAAAGCGUUGCCAGCACGCAAGAAAAUGUAUUCGGUGCCCCACCCUUGGCAAGCAGACCUUGUGAAGGCACUCUCUGCCAAACAACAAGAGUUGCCCGGACCAGCACAAUCCGCUGGACAAUAUGUAACAAGUGCUCUGCUCAGCAUCAAAGACACCACUGAAAUGGCACAAGCUGUCACUGAAAUCAUUACCUUUGUCAAUGAAAAGGUGUACAAAACAAAAACAAAUGUAAAUGGAUGUAUAUCGUUUUAUUAUUAUAUUCUGGCUUAAAUUGAUCUUUAUUUUUUUAGAUAACUGUACUUAAUUCUCUAUUUAACUCACUCCUCUACACACAACUCAUACUAUCUGCCAGCAGCACCUUUAUCACCUGCACAAUGAU